GACGAACGCUGGCGGCGUGCUUAACACAUGCAAGUCGAGCGGAGCGGCGAACGGGUGAGUAACGCGUGAGUAACUGCCCCCCUCUCUGGGAUAACAGUUGGAAACGGCUGCUAAUACCGGAUAGUGGGGGAUGACUCGCGUCCUAUCAGCUUGUUGGUGGGGUAGUGGCCUACCAAGGGGACGACGGGUAGCCGGCCUGCGCGGGCGACCGGCCAAAUUGUGCUGAGGUACGGCCCAAACGCCUACGGGGGGCAGCAGUGGGGAAUAUUGGAAAAUGGGGGGAAACCUGAUGCAGCAACGCCGGGUGCGGGAUGACGGGCUUCGGGUUGUAAACCGCGUUCCGCCAAGACGCGGUAGUGGCAGAAGAAGCACCGGCUAACUACGUGCCAGCAGCCGCGGUAAUUC
rnacentral:rRNA from 1 species